CCCCCUUCUUCGCCCAUCCCCGGUGGGGUAGGUGGUGGAGGAGGCCUCUUCCGCCCGUUGUCUGGCGGCGGGUGCCCGCGGGGUCGAUCUGCUUCCCCCUGGAGCAGAAAGUUGGGAGGGUGAAGCGUGGCUCUUGCCCGUUGAGUUUGGCUUUGGUCUCUCUCCUCUCCCGCCAGGAUGCUGGUGGCGUGCGGCAUGCAGCGAUGUCACCAGGAAGCGCUAAAGAAGAACCGGGUGAUGCUGGCAAAGCAGAUGAUUUUGAAAGAAUUGGCUGAGCAUAUGAUAGAGAAGGACAUCAUCACCACGGAGAUGAUGGAAAUGAUACAGGCCAAGUCUGGGAGCUUCAGCCAAAAUGUGGAAUUCCUUGAUUUGCUGCCCAAGAGAGGCCCUAAUGCCUUCUCAGCCUUCUGUGAAGCUCUACGAGAAACCAAACAGCAGCAUCUGGAGACAGUGAUCUUGAAUACAACAUCCAACCUGAGUCACGGGACUGCAAGGCUUGAACACUGUUAUGGAUCAAAUCUUCCAUUCCCUGUCAGUGAGUUGUGUAAUUCAAAGAGACCACGCUGGAUUGAACCAAUGGAACAUUCCUUGGAUAAUGGAGAUGGUCUACAGAUUCCUCCAGUGAAGUACUGCUCUCCUGAAUUUUAUCGUGAUCAUCAGCACUUGGCAUAUAAACUGAUAUCAGAGCCCCGAGGCUUAGCACUUAUUCUCAGCAAUGUCCAUUUCAGCAGUGAGAAGGACUUGGAAUAUCGCGCAGGGGGAGAUGUGGACUGUAAUUCGCUGGAGAUGCUUUUCAAGCAUCUUGGGUAUCAAGUGACUGUCUGUCAUGAUCAAACUGCACAGGAGAUGCGGAAUGCAUUGGAGAGGUUCUCUAAGCUGCCAGGUCAUCGGGAUGUGGAUUCGUGCAUUGUUGCUUUGCUUUCCCAUGGUGUGGAGGGUGGGGUUUAUGGCAGUGAUGGCAAACUACUACAGUUGCAGGAGGCUUUCCGGCUCUUUGAUAAUGCAAACUGUACAAAUCUUCAGAAUAAGCCCAAAAUGUUCUUUAUUCAGGCCUGCCGUGGAGGUAUAAGUGGAACCCAUAUUCACCUCCCUCUGCCCUGCUGCUGCCACUGCAUCUGUUGCUCUGUAAGUGUCUUUUGCUCUGCAUGGGAUGUGUGCAUUGGCUUGCAAACCUCAGAGCACCUUAAUGAUAUCAAACUCUAUCACAUCCCGCUCAUAUGUUGAGGCUUUCUCGCUUUGCCUGCAGUAAGGGGAGUGGGGCAUAUGGUGCAUCAAAUUGCAGCACAGCACAGAGUGGUACACUAGCAAUGGAGUCCUGUCUGAGGUCCUUUCUUUUGAUCCUGGAUGUAUUAUGUCUCUUGUGCUGUUGUCUCUUGAGCUAUCAAAGUUGGCUCAAAGUCUUUUUUUGUCUCUUUUUCCCCUUUACCCUAUCCUCUUUUCAACCUCCAAAUGACCUUUCUUUACACCCUCUUCCACAUACUACUGUAGAAUGUUUACAUACUAUUGUACAGAAUUCUUUUCUUCAUUCUCAUAUACUUGGGUUUUUUCCACUUUCUGUUCCUUUUUUUUUUUUUUUUUUUAAAUUGUGCCAUUCAUUUUCCCUCCUCUUGUAACUAAACACAUGUCUAUAAGCACCUACGUUUCAGAUCUGCUAAUGACUUUUUCCCUAAACUAUUUGGACUUUUUGAGAUUGCUGUGAAACUGUGGAUACUCCAAAGCAAAGUUCUGUCUUAGAAAGCUUUGUUUUUUCUGUUGUGAUAGAGAAGUUCUUCUAGUGUGUAUGCUUUUCCCCCUUUUCCCUUGUAAUUGUCUCCCUUUUUAAUUUUUAGCAGAGCUUUAUAGUUUGUCCUCUAGCCAAGAGGAUGUUUCAUUCACCUGUUAUCUACUUGUGUUCAAUCCCAGUGAGGAGAAAAACUUAGUCACAUGAAGUAUUUUGGCAAUCAGAAAUAUUUGAUUCUUCUAAGCAUUUGGAAAUACUGUAACGUGUAUUUACAGUAUGAAUUGAACGUGAUUGCUUUUCUUACAUUAUUGAAUCUUUAGAUACUCUUGAACAAACAUGAAAAUGCAGACUCAUAACACUGUGGAAAUAAGUGUAAUAAACCAAAGCUUUGUAACUGACCUUAUUAGACAAUCAGACCUUCCCACUGCUGCUUGGAGGAAAAGAACAGCGUUGCUGUCUUAUAAACUGACCAUUACCUAUGCAUAAUUAUGAGAUGUCUUCAGUGCCACUGCCUGUAAAAGUGUUAGAAAUCCAAAUGCAUUUCUUAGGCAUGUCCUGGCAACAAAAUCCUAGAGCCAUCAUAACAGGAGGAUCUCUGAAAUGGACACUUGUGCCUCCUAAGACUAGCAUCUACUUACUAGGAAAUGAGACAGACCGGGGAGUGGAUCAAAGAGAUGGGAAAGAAUGGUCAGAUUCCCCAGGCUGUGAGGAAAGUGAUGCAAACAAGGAAGAAAAUCUCAAACUGCGUCUCCC